UAACACAUGCAAGUCGAGCGGAAACGACACUAACAAUCCUUCGGGUGCGUUAAUGGGCGUCGAGCGGCGGACGGGUGAGUAAUGCCUAGGAAAUUGCCUUGAUGUGGGGGAUAACCAUUGGAAACGAUGGCUAAUACCGCAUGAUGCCUACGGGCCAAAGAGGGGGACCUUCGGGCCUCUCGCGUCAAGAUAUGCCUAGGUGGGAUUAGCUAGUUGGUGAGGUAAUGGCUCACCAAGGCGACGAUCCCUAGCUGGUCUGAGAGGAUGAUCAGCCACACUGGAACUGAGACACGGUCCAGACUCCUACGGGAGGCAGCAGUGGGGAAUAUUGCACAAUGGGCGAAAGCCUGAUGCAGCCAUGCCGCGUGUAUGAAGAAGGCCUUCGGGUUGUAAAGUACUUUCAGUUGUGAGGAAGGGUGUGUAGUUAAUAGCUGCACAUCUUGACGUUAGCAACAGAAGAAGCACCGGCUAACUCCGUGCCAGCAGCCGCGGUAAUACGGAGGGUGCGAGCGUUAAUCGGAAUUACUGGGCGUAAAGCGCAUGCAGGUGGUUCAUUAAGUCAGAUGUGAAAGCCCGGGGCUCAACCUCGGAACUGCAUUUGAAACUGGUGAACUAGAGUACUGUAGAGGGGGGUAGAAUUUCAAGUGUAGCGGUGAAAUGCGUAGAGAUCUGAAGGAAUACCAUGGCGAAGGCGGCCCCUGGACAGAUACUGACACUCA
rnacentral:rRNA from 1 species